AUGGUCCAGAACUUGAAGGACUUAGAGGAAUGGCUGCAUACUGACUCCUGGGACAUAGUCAUGGCACUGAAGCUGCUGCUAGGGGCCAGCACUGUGGCCUAUGGUGUCCCCAAAUCCAAGUUCACCAUGGAAGGCAAACACAGCCAUCUUCUUCAAUUAUAUCGGUGGCAUGCAGCAAGACACUAUCCUGGCCAAAGGCUUCAUUUCAGGAUUCCCUGGUCUCGGUACCCCAUCAACGAUGACAUUCUGGCCGGACCUUGAAAAAUUUCCUCCCUAACAGGCUCAAAAGACCUGCAGAUGGUGAACAUAUCCCUGUACAUGGUGUCUCAACCCAAUGUUCAGGAGCUUCCUAGCAUGCACAAGCACCUAGGGCUAGACAACAAAGAAUGAGUGUUGCCAUCCAUUGUCAAAAGAGUACUCAAGAGUGUGGUGGCCAAGUUCAAUGCCUCAUAGCUGAUUACCCAGUGGGCCCAGGUAUCCCUGUUGAUUCAUUGGGAGCUGCCAGAGAGGGCCAAGGACUUCAGUCUUAUCUUGGAUGAUGUAGCCAUCACAGAGCUGAGCUUUAGCUGAGAGUACACAGCUACUGUAGAGGCCAAACAAGUGGUCCAGCAGGAGGCCCAGCAGGCCCAGUUCUUCGUAGAAAAAGCAAAACUAGAACACCAGCAAAAGAUUGCCCAGGCCAAGUGUGAAGCUGAGGCUGCUAAGAUGCUUGGGGAAGCACUGAGCAAGAACCCUGGCUACAUCAAAAUUCACAAGAUUAGGCAGCCCAGAACAUCUCCAAGACAAUCACAUCAUAGAAUCAUAUCUGUCUCACUGAUGACAAUCUUGUGCUGAACCUACAGGAUAAGACUUUCACCUGGGGAAAUAAAGGCAGCCUCAUUAAGGGUAAG
rnacentral:lncRNA from 1 species